AUUGAACGCUGGCGGCAGGCCUAACACAUGCAAGUCGAGCGGACGAAGGGAGCUUGCUCCUGGAUUCAGCGGCGGACGGGUGAGUAAUGCCUAGGAAUCUGCCUGGUAGUGGGGGAUAACGUCCGGAAACGGGCGCUAAUACCGCAUACGUCCUGAGGGAGAAAGUGGGGGAUCUUCGGACCUCACGCUAUCAGAUGAGCCUAGGUCGGAUUAGCUAGUUGGUGGGGUAAAGGCCUACCAAGGCGACGAUCCGUAACUGGUCUGAGAGGAUGAUCAGUCACACUGGAACUGAGACACGGUCCAGACUCCUACGAGAGGCAGCAGUGGGGAAUAUUGGACAAUGGGCGAAAGCCUGAUCCAGCCAUGCCGCGUGUGUGAAGAAGGUCUUCGGAUUGUAAAGCACUUUAAGUUGGGAGGAAGGGCAGUAAGUUAAUACCUUGCUGUUUUGACGUUACCAACAGAAUAAGCACCGGCUAACUUCGUG
rnacentral:rRNA from 1 species